CUGGGGGCUGGGUCUGCAGGGGCGGGGGCGCUCCGGGCCGGUGCAGGGAUGCCUGAAUCUCUCUACUGAAAAUGAGCCCUCGUCAGCUUUCGUUCAGAGAAGUCCGUGUCCAACAAGGCCGGCGCUGGGGUGCCGACACUAGGCUUUUCUCUCCCCGGAGGCCUGAGUCCAUCGUUCUGGUUUGACCUUGAGCACCUGUCUGCGCUUCCUUUUUCUCAUUUCCAGCAAGAUCUCGAAAGAGUAAGAUGCAGAAUACAUACAGAUCAGGACGAUUUAAAAGAGACCAGUUACUCUUAUUUUUCAUGUUUCUCUUCAUCAUAUUGCAUUGGAAAAAAAAAAAAAAAAAACACCCCAAAACGUUAUUUUGGCUUACACUACAAAAUCCCAAGUGUAACUUUUGGUUUUUAGUGUGCCAGUAUUUUUUUGUUUGUUUGUUUUAAAUUGAAAAAGUAGACUGGAAAUAAAAUGCCACACCCAGAAGAGUUUGGAAUGAGAUUUUCAGGUUAAGAUUGGAGACCAGAGGUGAAGGAUGUUGGGAAUUCCUCUUGUAACCUUUGAACUUAAAAGUAAUUUCUGAAGUUUUAAGUGUGCACAAAUUCUUCAUUUUAAAUGUGGACUCAUUUCCCCCCCCCCUUUUUUUUUAAGUGCAAUUCAAAAGGAUUGGCGAGAUAGAUCAUACAGUUUGGGGACAUAGAUUAAAUGUUUUAAAAAUACAAAUUUUGGGGACGCCUGGGUGGCUCAGUGGUUGAGCGUUUGCCUUUGGCCCAGGGCAUGAUCCUGGAGACUUGGGAUCGAGUCCUGCGUCAGGCUCCCUGCAUGGAGCCUGCUUCUCCCUCUGCCUGUGUCUCUGCCUCUCUCUAUCUCUCUCUCUCUGUCUCUCAUGAAUAGAUAAAUAAAAUCUUAAAAAAAAAAAAAACAGAUUAUCAAGCAGGUGGGGAUCAUUAGUACCAAUGGUAAUUACUUUGGUUUCCCAUUUAUAAGCAUCAGCCAUGUAGUAAAAAUGAAGUACCUUGUAUACCCCAUGUUAAAUUUUAUACAUAAACUUUUUUUUUAAGCUCUGAGUGAACUUCAAGAAUUACCAAUAAUCGUAAUAGAAAUGGAAAUUAUGGUAUUUUAAAAGGUUUGCAUAAGGCCUGAAUGAGAACCCAAACGUGAGGUUAUAGUAAAAAAUAACAUCUGUAUAAAAUUACAAUUUCCACUUUGCAAGGUUCUAACUCUUGUUUCUGUUGGCUUUCCCUCAUGGUGACUGGUUUCUUCAAAUGAUGUGUAAUGUGUUAUUGGGAGCUUAGCUUCAGAGAAGUUUUUGCUUUGUGAAAGUCCCCUGUAUCUUGGAUUGAGAGACUCUUUGCAGAAACACCUAGUGUAUAACAGAAUAUUUGAUGCCUACUAAGCCUUCAAAUAAAUGUUAAAAGACUUAACUUUCCCAAGUUAAGUAUUGAGAUGAAACAUUUCCAUAUUUUAUGCAUUCUGAGAUUCCUUUUUACGAAUUUCUGUGAUGGUGAAUAACAUUAAACAUCCAUUUCUUACUGCAAUUUGCAGCCAUGGACUCAUUGGUUAGUAAAUAAAAAACUAAAAGUAGGUUGAGAAGCAUCAAUAUGCCAUUUUAUUUUUUAUAAGCCUUAAAAUAAUAUUUUAGCAAUAUUCUGCAGUUUUCAGUUUAGGGAUUUUGCACAUCUUCUGUCAGAUUUACCCCCAAAUGGUUAAUAGCAUGACCCAUUGUAAGUAGCACUUUUAUUUGAUAUUCAAUUUUUGUAUCUUCUAUAUAGAAAUAAAAUUGAUUUAUGUUUGUUGAUCAACAGUGGUAAACACUAGUCAUGGCAGCAUUUUUUAAAGGUAGAUUUCAGUGGAUUUUGUACAUGAAUGAUCAUGUCUGCAAACCACAAUUUUGUUUCUUUCAAAUCUGCAUACCAUUUAUUUUCUUGCUUUAUUGCAUUGGGUAGCUAAAGUCAGUCAUGGGUGUUCCAUGCCUGCAUGACUGUCCAAUAAGAACCCUAGACAACAAGGUUUAGAUGACUUCCCUAGUUGGUGAUACUUUGUAUGUGUUGUCAUGCAUUAUUGCUGGGAGAAUUAAGUGCAAUCCAUACAAUACACUAAGAAAGGACAACUGGAAAUUUAUAUCUGAUUUUUUUCUGGACUCCUCUCUAAGUGCAUUUGCCUUUGCUGAUUUCUUUUUUAAAGAAGAUGUUAUUUAUUUGAGAGACAGAAAGAGAGAGAGAGAGAGCACAAGCCAGGGGGAAAGGCAGGGUUAGAGGGAGAAUCAGGCUCCCUAUUGAACAAGAAGCCUAACUCAUGGCUUAAUCCCAGGACCACGGGAUCACAUCCUGAGCCAAAGUUAGAUGCUUAAUCGACUGAGCCACUCAGGUGCCCCAUUGCUUUUGCUGAUUUUAAUCUGUAUCUGUUUACUAUAAUAAACUAUAAUUGUGAGUUUAUAACAGCUUUUCUGAGUUCCUUGAAUCUUUCUAGUGCUAAUUAUCAAAACUAAGAGGGGCAUGGAGACCCCCAACACCUAUUACCCUUUUACUGACUAGGUUUUGUGCUGACAUCACUUCUGUAAUUCCUGAUAUUGGUAAUUUGUAUCUUGUUUCUUUUUCUGAUCACUCCCCUUGCAGGUUUACCAACUCUAUUUUUCUUAAACAACCAGCUUUUGGUUUUACAGAAUUUCUCUUUUUAUUAGUUUAAUACAUUUUUUAUUUAUUCUAUAAUCUUUACUAUUUUAUGCUUGCUUUGGGUUUAUUUGCUCUUCUUUUUAAAGUAGAAAUUGAAGUUCUUUGUUUAAAAUCUUUCUUUUUUUCUAAAUAAAUGUUCAGUGCUAUACAUUUUCUUCUACAUACUGCAUUAGCAGACUCCCAUGAAUUUUGAUAUAUUAUUUUUAGUACUUUCUUUUAAUUCAAAAUGUCUUUUAGGUUUUUUUUUCAUCUUUUAGUUACUGAUUAUUUAAAAUUCUGUUGCCUAGUUUUAAAUAUUUGGAGAUUUCUGGAGACCUCUCAUUUAUUUUUAAUUCUGUUGUGAUCAGAGAAAUAGUUUGUAUAAUUUGAAUGCUUUUAUAUUUAAUGAGAUUUGUUUUAUGGCCCAGAAUGCAGUCUAUCUUGGGAAAUGUUUUGUGUACAAAUAAAAUGAAUGUGUAUUUUACUAUUGUUAUAUGGAGUGUGUUAGAUGGAAUGUGUAUUUUACUAUUGUUGGAUGGAGUGUUCUGUUAAUAUCAAGGCAAUUUUGGUUGAUUGUGAUUUUUAAGUCCCCCAUAUCAUUACUGGUUUUUCUGCUUAUUCAAUUGAAAGAUGAGGAUUAAAGUUCACCACUGUAAUUGUGAA